rnacentral:rRNA from 1 species
ACGAACGCUGGCGGCAGGCCUAACACAUGCAAGUCGAGCGAGACCUUCGGGUCUAGCGGCGGACGGGUGAGUAACGCGUGGGAACGUGCCCUUUUCUGCGGAAUAGCCUCGGGAAACUGAGCGUAAUACCGCAUACGCCCUUUGGGGGAAAGAUUUAUCGGAAAAGGAUCGGCCCGCGUUGGAUUAGGUAGUUGGUGGGGUAAUGGCCUACCAAGCCUACGAUCCAUAGCUGGUUUGAGAGGAUGAUCAGCCACACUGGGACUGAGACACGGCCCAGACUCCUACGGGAGGCAGCAGUGGGGAAUCUUAGACAAUGGGGGCAACCCUGAUCUAGCCAUGCCGCGUGAGUGAUGAAGGCCUUAGGGUUGUAAAGCUCUUUCAGCUGGGAAGAUAAUGACGGUACCAGCAGAAGAAGCCCCGGCUAACUCCGUG